GAUGAACGCUGGCGGCGUGCUUAACACAUGCAAGUCGAACGAAGCACUUUAUUACGAUUUCUUCGGAAUGACGAUCUAGUGACUGAGUGGCGGACGGGUGAGUAACGCGUGGGUAACCUGCCUCAUACAGGGGGAUAACAGUUGGAAACGGCUGCUAAUACCGCAUAAGCACACAGCAUCGCAUGGUGCAGUGUGAAAAACUCCGGUGGUAUGAGAUGGACCCGCGUCUGAUUAGCUGGUUGGCGGGGUAACGGCCCACCAAGGCGACGAUCAGUAGCCGGCCUGAGAGGGCGACCGGCCACAUUGGGACUGAGACACGGCCCAAACUCCUACGGGAGGCAGCAGUGGGGAAUAUUGCACAAUGGGGGAAACCCUGAUGCAGCGACGCCGCGUGAGCGAAGAAGUAUUUCGGUAUGUAAAGCUCUAUCAGCAGGGAAGAAGAAAUGACGGUACCUGACUAAGAAGCCCCGGCUAACUACGUG
rnacentral:rRNA from 1 species